CCACAAAAAAAGACUAACUCUCGAAUGUACUUUGAGCUUUCAAAUCCAUUCACUAUUCAGAUGCCUAGUCGACUUCUGAUGAUGAAAUCGGUAGAGAUCAGCCAUCAUAGGCCUCGGCAUAUAGGAUGAUCUCCAGAUCCUAACAUCCAAACCAUAGUGAAAAGGGGUUGCCAGCCUUAGUACUCGCCAUCCAAUUUAUUCUCAAACUAAUCACCGCAUUAGAGUUCCAACCUUGGCCGUCGAUGUGGAAAAGAUCCCAAAUCCUCAUAGUCUCGGUCACCUAUGUACUAAUAUAUGUUAGCCAAUGAACCAAAGGGAUGUUGGUUAUCCAUGCUUCUCACAGAAUGACCAUCACCCACUAAUUAUCUAGUCUAAGAGAUCACAUUGGGGGCAUUCGCACAGAUC
rnacentral:lncRNA from 1 species